rnacentral:tRNA from 1 species
GGAAAGGUGGCAUUUUUGGCCUGUCACGCCGGAGGUCGCGGGUUCGAGUCCCGUCCGGUCCGCCA